AUGGGCUACCACCACCUCCUCGUCGUCUCGCCUCCGGCGCAGCCGCCGCCGCCGCGGCGCGUCUCCCUACCCUCCCGCUCGCCGCGGGGGGCCGUCACAGCCGCUGCCUCGCCCGACGCCGUCCGCUCCUUGUCGGUGGUGGCAUCGUCGGCAGCCACGCGAAGGAGGGCCGUGCUCCUGGUCGGGAUCUCCGUGUUCCCGCUCCUGCGCCUCCGUGACGCGGCGACCUCCGCCGUGCAGCCCUCAGCGGUCGAUCUCGUCACUGAUAAAAUGGACAUUCAGAUGUCUGAGGAAAUGCAGCCUGAAGAAACUAGGGCUGGACCACCUCAGUCUGAGGUGAAAAGGCCAUCUCCAGGGAAUCCAUUUGCAAGUCUCCUGAAUGCAAUUGCAGUUAUUGCUUCUGGGCUUCUGGCUGGGCUUCUUGGUACUACUCAACGUGAAAAGAAGGCCUUGCAGUCAGCCAUCUCAUCUAUGGAGAUCAAAUUGGCUGAAGAUGAGGCAGCGAUGUCUUUGCUUAGAGAGAACUAUGAGAAGAGGCUAUUGGACGAACAAGUGGCACAGAAGAAACAAGCUAGGAUGUUCCAGGACGAGGAAGCUUCUCUUCUUGAUCAAUUGGCUUCAACGAAGAGAACUGUAAAAAAUUUAAAUGAGGAAGUUAUGAAGGAGAAGGAGCUAGUUGAACAGCUUAAACAUGAAACACAUGAUCUUGAGAUUAGCAUUGCACAAGCAGAGGAAGACAAACAUGCGUUUGAAGAAAAUUUGAGGGACAAGUUGGAAACACUUGAUAUUUUACAUGGCAAGGUAAAUCUGCUUAGCCAAGAUGUAAAUGACAAGGAGGAAAACAUUACAGAACUCAGUUCAUCACUUUCAACCAAGGAAGGAGACUACCAGAGCCUGCACUUAAUAUUUAAUCAGACUAAAGAGAGCCUGGAACAUGCAAAUUCUAGAAUGGAGCAACUGGAGAAGUAUGUUUAUGCAGCUAAAAAUGAUAUAAAAUCAAAGAUAUCCUCAAUUGAUUCAUUGAAUGAGGAUGUCCAAACAGUGUACAGUGCAAAGAGUGAUGCCGAGGAAAAAAUAAGCAAGUUAAUGAAACAGUACACAGAAUUGGAAGCUGCUUCUAAGACGAGGGCCUCUCACGAUUCUGAACUAUUGUCCAAUAAAGAUGGUCAGCUCAAUCAACUCGAAGAACGACUUUCUACUGCAUUAAGUGAUUCUAGUGAAGACAGAAUUAUAAUUGUUGAGUUAAACAGUGAAUUGGAAGCUAACAGAACAAUGCUACUCAAUGAAGUUGAGGUCCGAAAAAAAUUGUCAGAUCUUGUCCAGUCCACUGAAGAUGCACUUAAAGAAUCCAGAAAUGAGUUGUUCAAACUGUCCGAAGAGCUUAAUGAAGUAAAUAUAUCAAACCAUGACUUGACAACCCAGAUUUCAGAAUUCACAAAUGAGUCUAAUGAAGUGAAACAGGCUCUGACUAAGAAAGUAGAAGAAGCGGAAUCAGUUUCUAAAGCUCUUUUAGAUGAAUUGGCCUCAGUGAAGGAGAUACAUCAAAAGACACAAACAAAUCUUGAAGUCACCUCUAAUCAAUUGGUGUCUAUUACAGAAGUGCAUGGUGAACUUAGUAAAGAAUUGCUGGAUGCAUAUAAAAAGUUAGAGUCCACAACAGAUGAGCUUGUUAGAGAACGAAGGAUUAAUGCUACUUUAAAUAGGGAGCUUGAGGCAUUGGUGAAACAGUCGCAGGUGGAAUCUGAAGCUAGAAGAGCUCUUCAAGCAGACUUGGAUGAGGCCACUGUUUCACUAAAUGAGGUGAAUGAGAGUACAUUAUUUCUGUCUAAUAAGCUUGAUAACACUGUUUCCAGGAUUUCUGCUAUUAAAGAAGAGAAAGAGGCUCUUUCAGCGGCUCUUUCGGAGCAAAAGAAAAGUACAGCCGAAGCUCAGAAAAAUAUGGUGGAUGCUCAGCAUCUUAUUAAAAGGCUUGGGAUGGAGAGAGAGAAUAGUGAAAUCAGGAGUACAAAGCUUGAAGAGGAAUUGGCCACAGCAAAAGGUGAGAUGUUAUAUCUGAGGAGGCAGAUUACUGCAAGUGGGUCACAGAAUGCAGAUGUUUUGGAAGCAAGCCCAACACCAAAUUUCAACCAAUCUCCGGAAGAUCGUGUUCCAAAUACCAGUAGUACUGAUGCUGUACCUCCUCGUUCUGCUAAGAAGAUUUAUAGGAGAAGAAAAGACAGACCAUAA
rnacentral:rRNA from 1 species